UGGGGAAUCUUGCACAAUGGGGGCAACCCUGAUGCAGCGACGCCGCGUGAGCGAUGAAGCCCUUCGGGGCGUAAAGCUCUUUCGACCGGAACGAUAAUGACGGUACCGGGAGAAGAAGCUGCGGCUAACUACGUGCCAGCAGCCGCGGUAAUACGUAGGCAGCAAGCGUUGUUCGGAGUUACUGGGCGUAAAGAGUGCGUAGGCGGUUUUCUAAGUUCGGUGUGAAAUCUCCCGGCUUAACCGGGAGGGUGCGCCGAAAACUGGUUGGCUGGAGUAUGGGAGAGGAAAGCGGAAUUCCUGGUGUAGCGGUGAAAUGCGUAGAUAUCAGGAGGAACACCUGCGGUGUAGACAGCUUUCUGGACCAAAACUGACGCUGAGGCACGAAAGCGUGGGUAGCAAACA
rnacentral:rRNA from 1 species